rnacentral:lncRNA from 1 species
AUGUCAUCAGAGGGCUGUGAGCAGGCCUGAUCUUGGCUCAGGAGGCCCUCCAGCCUGGAUCUAAAGAGCAGCAGACGGGCCAGGCUCGGUGGCUCAUGCCUGUAAUCCCAGCACUUUGGGAGGCCGAGGCGGGUGGAUCACGAGGUCAGGAGUUUGAGACCAGCCUGGCCAAGAUGGUGAAGCCUCGUCUCUACUAAAAAUACAAAAAUUAGCCAGGUGCGGUGGUGGGCGCCUGUAUUUCCAGCUACUCGGGAGGCUGAGGAGGCUGAGGCAGGAGAGUCACUUGAACCCGGGAGGCGGAGGUUGCAGUGAGCCGAGGUCACGCCACUGCACUCUAGCCUGGGCAACAGAGCAAGACUCCGUCAAAAAAUAAAAUAAAAUAAAAAAAUAAAAAAAAUAAAGAGGAGCAGACAUCUCUGCCCAUCCUAACUCCCACUUUGACAUUGAGGUCCCCAGGACAGCUCCUAAAUGUUCAAAACUGCUUUGGAAACUUCUGGAGAGAGGUUUUGCAGCUCAGGCAGACAGCUGAUCGCGGCCUUUCUUCCACCCCAACCCAUGCUCUCCCCAUGCUCUCCUGCCACAGCUGCAGCGGGCCCCUGGGUCCUACAUUUGCAGCCCUUUGUCUCUGAGCUCAGACUUCCAAUUCCAAGCGGCAGCUGGGCAGGCUCACCAGCAUGUCCAGCCAGUACUAGGACAUCAGCAGGAGCCCAGCCACCUCUUUCCAAAACCUCUCCUCAUGUCUCUCCUAGUUUCCAUCUCCAUCCUUCUAGUCAGCCAGGCUGAAAACAUUUGCUCCUCAGGGUGCAGAAGGAAAAGCUUUGCCUCCCUACCUGGUGCUCACUGCCCCUGCGAUUCCAGCCCAAGCCCUCCCCGGCUCCUCACCCUGGUGUCAGCUGGAAGCCACCAUCUCCUAAACCCACCUGUGUUCUUCCACCUCUACCAGGGCUGCCCUCUCCUCCACCUUCACAAACUCAAUUCCUACCCAUUCUCAGGUCCCUUAUCAAAUGCCAUCUCCUCCAUGAUGCCUCCCUGAUUCCCCUGCUGGAAAUAAUGGUGAUAACAGCUAAGGCAUUGGGGUUGGCUAUGUGCCAGGCAAGGAGUUGGCACUUUACAUGUUUUAUCUCAUUUCAGCCACGUAACAUCGACAGGUGGCAUUAUGAUUCAUAUCAUCCCCAUCUGAUAGCCAGGAAAACUGAGUCCCAGAGAGGUUAGCCACUUUCCUAGGGCCCUGUGCUCUGACUCAAGCAUAGCUCUGAGGAACUCUAGCAUUCAUCAGUUUAAGCACCAUGACUUUCUUUGCUGAGUCACCCAAGGCAUUUCUUCGUUUAAAUGUUCUUCCUUGGCCAGGCGCAGUGGCUCAGGCCCAAUGCGGUGGCUCACGCCUGUAAUCCCAGGACUGUGGGAGGCCGAGGUGGGCAGAUCACUUGAGAUCAGGAGGUUGAGACCAGCCUGGCCAACAUAGUGAAACCCCAUCUCUACUAAAAAUACAAAAAUUAGCUGAACAUGGUGGCAGGUACUUGUAAUCCCAGCUACCUGGGAGGCUGAAGCAAGAGAAUCGCUUGAAUCCAGGAGGCAGAGGUUGCAGUGAGCCAAGAUCAUACCACUGCACUCCAGCCUGGGUGACAGAGUGCAACUCCAUCUCAAAAAAAAAAAAAAAAAAAUUUAAGAUUUAAGAUUUUAAAAAAGUUCUUCAGAUGAUUCUAAUAUUCAGCAAAGUUUGAAAACCAUUGGCACAGGAUAGGGGCCUUGCUCCUCUGAGUGUGGUCAGCAGACCAGCAGCAACCAGGUCACCCGAGAGCUUAUUAGAAAUGCAGAAUCUCAGGCUGCACCCUGGACCCAUUGAAUCAGAAUCUGCAUUUUCUUUCUUUCUCUUUCUUUUUUUCUUUCCUUCUUUUUCUUUUUUCGAGACGGAGUUUCGCUCUUGUCACCCAGGCUGAAGUGCAGUGGCACAAUC